CUGAAAAACUAUUGUUAUUUUAUAUUUAUCAUUUUAAAAGCAGGUUUCGUGUCUUUCGAUUUAAACAGUAGCACGUUUUUUUGCGGUAUUCCUACUUUCAUUUUGGACAACAUUUGAAGGCUUUUCCAAAUUGCGUCAUUAAAACCAGGAAUGAUAGCCGUCCAAUGAAAACGCUUCUUGCAUUUCAGAUAUAGGCGAGUGUGCGGUCAAGGUCAAAAUUGCGAGAGGGUGAUUCGAAGUGAAAUACCGCAACAAAAACGUUCGAUUUGUAUAUUUAACGCGUCUAACUGAAUGAGUCACAAUGUUUCUACCACAAGAGUUGUAAAUAUUGAAAAACUGAGAUAAAAACUGCAAAAAAUGGCCACCAACAAUAAUGGGCCAGGACUGAGGAGUUCCAAGAAAUGAGAGUGUGGCAACAAGUAAAUGGACCUUGACAAAUGUCCUCUAUGUUAGAGCCAGUCCCUUACACAAGUGACCUACUUUUGCACAGCUGAGGUUGUUAUCAAACGCAGCAGUAGGUAUGAAAUGCGGA